AUUGAACGCUGGCGGCAGGCCUAGCACAUGCAAGUCGAGCGGAUGAAGGGAGCUUGCUCCUGGAUUCAGCGGCGGACGGGUGAGUAAUGCCUAGGAAUCUGCCUGGUAGUGGGGGAUAACGUCCGGACACGGGCGCUAAUACCGCAUACGUCCUGAGGGAGAAAGUGGGGGAUCUUCGGACCUCACGCUAUCAGAUGAGCCUAGGUCGGAUUAGCUAGUUGGUGGGGUAAAGGCCUACCAAGGCGACGAUCCGUAACUGGUCUGAGAGGAUGAUCAGUCACACUGGAACUGAGACACGGUCCAGACUCCUACGGGAGGCAGCAGUGGGGAAUAUUGGACAAUGGGCGAAAGCCUGAUCCAGCCAUGCCGCGUGUGUGAAGAAGGUCUUCGGAUUGUAAAGCACUUUAAGUUGGGAGGAAGGGCAGUAAGUUAAUACCUUGCUGUUUUGACGUUACCAACAGAAUAAGCACCGGCUAACUUCGUG
rnacentral:rRNA from 1 species